AGUUUGAUUAUGGCUCAGGACGAACGCUGGCGGCGUGCCUAACACAUGCAAGUCGAGCGAUGAAAUCCUUCGGGAUGGAUUAGCGGCGGACGGGUGAGUAACACGUGGGUAACCUGCCUUGUAGAGGGGGAUAGCCUUCCGAAAGGAAGAUUAAUACCGCAUAACAUCUUUUUAUCGCAUGGUAGAAAGAUCAAAGGAGCAAUCCGCUACAAGAUGGACCCGCGGCGCAUUAGCUAGUUGGUGAGGUAACGGCUCACCAAGGCGACGAUGCGUAGCCGACCUGAGAGGGUGAUCGGCCACAUUGGAACUGAGACACGGUCCAGACUCCUACGGGAGGCAGCAGUGGGGAAUAUUGCGCAAUGGGGGGAAACCCUGACGCAGCAACGCCGCGUGAAUGAAGAAGGCCUUAGGGUUGUAAAGUUCUGUUUACGGGGACGAUAAUGACGGUACCCGUGGAGGAAGCCACGGCUAACUACGUGCCAGCCGCCGC
rnacentral:rRNA from 1 species